CCUCCCCUGCUGCUGAGGUCACAGCGUCGUUCAAUGGGUCACAUUCUGACCCCUCCCCCAUCCUGUCGGCCCCUCCCAUCAAAGAGAGAGUUCACGUUUACUUAAAAAGACAAAUCGAACAGGGAUCUCAGAUCCUUCCUCCAAACAGCCGUAGGUGAGAUUGUGGUCAGGUGGAUUUAUGUUACUUCUGUAUGCUCUCUCUCUCUCUCUCUCCCUCUCCCUCUCUCUCUCUCUCUCUCUCUCUCUCUCUCUCUCUCUCUCUCUCUCUCUCUCUGUGAUGUUUUUUCGGAGGUUUCCUGAGAGCGCGACCACAGAUUUCUCAGGUGUUGAUUGGCUGCUUCCCCUCCCCUCCCUGGUCUUAAUGAUUCUCCUCCUCCUCCUCCUCCUCCUCCUCCCCCCUCCUCCUCUCUGAGUCCAGUCGCCGCUCCUCCGACCUCCAUGUCGGACCGGUCUUUUUCUGCAGGUAAAAAGGUAAAAGAUUAAAGAUGCGAGUCGGUCUCUGCGCCUCGAAGCUCGUGGGUUUUUUUCAGCGGAGCGGCUUUUCGAUGUCCUCACAUCUGACAUCUUGGUAGAAAUCCAAAAGUUUAAAGUCAUAAUUUAAGAUUCAUGUAAUCAGAGGAGGGCAGAAAGAUCGGAACAAUCCGACAAAGAAAAGUAAAUAUCGGAAUAAAGUCGUCUGGCAUCCUGACAGAAGGAGCUAAAUAUUCAAAGUCCGGGUCAGACUCCUCCAGAACUGACUCCCAGUCCGGCUCCAUCAGAGGGCAGGGUGAGGGUGGAGACACCUCCUCCUCUUUAUCAUCAUGGCCUCCUCUUCAUCAUGGCCUCCUCUUCAUCAGGGUCUCCCUCCUCCUCCUCCUCACCCUUCAUCAGUAUGCAGAUGAUCUCCUCGUCUCUGCUGAAGAUCAAACAUCUCAGAGCGGAGCGAGGAGAACCAGCUCCUCCUGAAAACUUCUCCAUCUGAAACUCUUCUCCUCCUCCUCUCUACUCCUCCUCUUCCUCCUUUGCUUCUUCCAUUUUUCUUUUCUUCCUCCCUUCUUUCCUUCCUCCUUCCCUUCCUUCCUUUCCUUCCUUCCCUUCCUUCUCCCUUCUCUCUUCUCUCCUUCCUGCCAUCCUUCCUCCCUUCCUUCCUUCCUUCCUUCCCUUCUUCCCUUCCUCUCCUCAGUCUCAGAUGCCUCCUCUCCUCCCUUCUUUUCUUCCUCCCUUCUUUCCUUCCUCCUUCCCUUCCUUCCUUCCCUUCCUUCUCCCUUCUCUCUUCUCUCCCUCCUGCCAUCCUUCCUCCCUUCCUUCCUUCCUUCCCUUCUUCCUCCCUUCCUUCUUCCCUUCCUCUCCUCAGUCUCAGGAGCCUCCUCUCAUCCUUACUCCCCCCUUCCUUUCUUCCUUCUUUCCUUCCUUUCUUCCUCACCUCUGCCAGCUGCUCUUCCUUCCUCCCUUUUCUCCAUCCUUCCCUCCUCCCUUCCUCCUCCUCCUCCUCUCAGAG